AGAGUUUGAUCAUGGCUCAGAUUGAACGCUGGCGGCAGGCCUAACACAUGCAAGUCGAACGGUAACAGGAAGCAGCUUGCUGCUUCGCUGACGAGUGGCGGACGGGUGAGUAAUGUCUGGGAAACUGCCUGAUGGAGGGGGAUAACUACUGGAAACGGUGGCUAAUACCGCAUAACGUCGCAAGACCAAAGAGGGGGACCUUCGGGCCUCUUGCCAUCAGAUGUGCCCAGAUGGGAUUAGCUAGUUGGUGAGGUAACGGCUCACCAAGGCGACGAUCCCUAGCUGGUCUGAGAGGAUGACCAGCCACACUGGAACUGAGACACGGUCCAGACUCCUACGGGAGGCAGCAGUGGGGAAUAUUGCACAAUGGGCGCAAGCCUGAUGCAGCCAUGCCGCGUGUAUGAAGAAGGCCUUCGGGUUGUAAAGUACUUUCAGCGGGGAGGAAGGUGUUGUGGUUAAUAACCACAGCAAUUGACGUUACCCGCAGAAGAAGCACCGGCUAACUCCGUGCCAGCAGCCGCGGUAAUACGGAGGGUGCAAGCGUUAAUCGGAAUUACUGGGCGUAAAGCGCACGCAGGCGGUCUGUCAAGUCGGAUGUGAAAUCCCCGGGCUCAACCUGGGAACUGCAUUCGAAACUGGCAGGCUUGAGUCUUGUAGAGGGGGGUAGAAUUCCAGGUGUAGCGGUGAAAUGCGUAGAGAUCUGGAGGAAUACCGGUGGCGAAGGCGGCCCCCUGGACAAAGACUGACGCUCAGGUGCGAAAGCGUGGGGAGCAAACAGGAUUAGAUACCCUGGUAGUCCACGCCGUAAACGAUGUCUACUUGGAGGUUGUGCCCUUGAGGCGUGGCUUCCGGAGCUAACGCGUUAAGUAGACCGCCUGGGGAGUACGGCCGCAAGGUUAAAACUCAAAUGAAUUGACGGGGGCCCGCACAAGCGGUGGAGCAUGUGGUUUAAUUCGAUGCAACGCGAAGAACCUUACCUGGUCUUGACAUCCACAGAACUUUCCAGAGAUGGAUUGGUGCCUUCGGGAACUGUGAGACAGGUGCUGCAUGGCUGUCGUCAGCUCGUGUUGUGAAAUGUUGGGUUAAGUCCCGCAACGAGCGCAACCCUUAUCCUUUGUUGCCAGCGGUUAGGCCGGGAACUCAAAGGAGACUGCCAGUGAUAAACUGGAGGAAGGUGGGGAUGACGUCAAGUCAUCAUGGCCCUUACGACCAGGGCUACACACGUGCUACAAUGGCGCAUACAAAGAGAAGCGACCUCGCGAGAGCAAGCGGACCUCAUAAAGUGCGUCGUAGUCCGGAUUGGAGUCUGCAACUCGACUCCAUGAAGUCGGAAUCGCUAGUAAUCGUGGAUCAGAAUGCCACGGUGAAUACGUUCCCGGGCCUUGUACACACCGCCCGUCACACCAUGGGAGUGGGUUGCAAAAGAAGUAGGUAGCUUAACCUUCGGGAGGGCGCUUACCACUUUGUGAUUCAUGACUGGGGUGAAGUCGUAACAAGGUAACCGUAGGGGAACCUGCGGUUGGAUCACCUCCUU
rnacentral:rRNA from 1 species